rnacentral:rRNA from 1 species
CCUACGGGGGGCAGCAGUGAGGAAUAUUGGUCAAUGGACGAGAGUCUGAACCAGCCAAGUAGCGUGAAGGAUGACUGCCCUAUGGGUUGUAAACUUCUUUUAUCUGGGAAUAAAAUGUUCCACGUGUGGGAUUUUGUAUGUACCAUAUGAAUAAGGAUCGGCUAACACCGUGCCAGCAGCCGCGGUAAUACGGAGGAUCCGAGCGUUAUCCGGAUUUAUUGGGUUUAAAGGGAGCGUAGGUGGAUUGUUAAGUCAGUUGUGAAAGUUUGCGGCUCAACCGUAACAUUGCAGUUGAAACUGGCAGUCUUGAGUACAGUAGAGGUGGGCGGAAUUCGUGGUGUAGCGGUGAAAUGCUUAGAUAUCACGAAGAACUCCGAUUGCGAAGGCAGUUCACUGGACUGCAACUGACACUGAGGCUCGAAAGUGUGGGUAUCAAACAGGAUUAGAUACCCCAGUAGUC